rnacentral:rRNA from 1 species
GUAGGGAAUUUUCCGCAAUGGGCGAAAGCCUGACGGAGCAACGCCGCGUGAGUGAGGACGGCCUUCGGGUUGUAAAACUCUGUUCUUGAGGAAGAAUUCCUUCCAGGCGAACAGCCUGGAAGGUUGACGGUACUCAAGGAGAAAGCCCCGGCUAACUACGUGCCAGCAGCCGCGGUAAUACGUAGGGGGCGAGCGUUAUCCGGAAUUAUUGGGCGUAAAGCGCGCGCAGGCGGCUGAUUAAGUCAGGUGUGAAAGGCUGCGGCUCAACCGCAGAGCGGCACCUGAAACUGGUCAGCUUGAGUGCAGGAGAGGGGAGCGGAAUUCCCGGUGUAGCGGUGGAAUGCGUAGAGAUCGGGAGGAACACCAGUGGCGAAGGCGGCUCUCUGGCCUGUAACUGACGCUGAGGCGCGAAAGCGUGGGGAGCAAACAGGAUUAGAAACCCCAGUAGUCC